UACGUAGGGUGCAGGCGUUACUCGGAAUUACUGGGCGUAAAGCGUGCGCAGGCGGCUCCUUAAGUCAGAUGUGAAAUCCCCGGGCUUAACCUGGGAACUGCGUUUGAAACUGGGGGGCUUGAGUGUGGAAGAGGGGGGUGGAAUUCCAGGUGUAGCAGUGAAAUGCGUAGAGAUCUGGAGGAACACCGAUGGCGAAGGCAGCCCCCUGGGCUAACACUGACGCUCAUGCACGAAAGCGUGGGGAGCAAACAGG
rnacentral:rRNA from 1 species